rnacentral:rRNA from 1 species
UACGUAGGGGGCAAGCGUUGUCCGGAUUUAUUGGGCGUAAAGAGCGUGUAGGCGGCCAGGUAUGUCCGUUGUGAAAACUCGAGGCUCAACCUCGAGACGCCGGUGGAAACCAUCAGGCUAGAGUCCGGAAGAGGAGAGUGGAAUUCCUGGUGUAGCGGUGAAAUGCGCAGAUAUCAGGAAGAACACCCGUGGCUAAGGCGGCUCUCUAGUACGGUACUGACGCUGAGACGCGAAAGCGUGGGGAGCGAACAGG